rnacentral:rRNA from 1 species
CCUGCACGAAUGGCGUAAUGAUGGCCAGGCUGUCUCCACCCGAGACUCAGUGAAAUUGAACUCGCUGUGAAGAUGCAGUGUACCCGCGGCAAGACGGAAAGACCCCGUGAACCUUUACUAUAGCUUGACACUGAACAUUGAGCCUUGAUGUGUAGGAUAGGUGGGAGGCUUUGAAGUGUGGACGCCAGUCUGCAUGGAGCCGACCUUGAAAUACCACCCUUUAAUGUUUGAUGUUCUAACGUGGACCCGUGAUCCGGGUUGCGGACAGUGUCUGGUGGGUAGUUUGACUGGGGCGGUCUCCUCCUAAAGAGUAACGGAGGAGCACGAAGGUUGGCUAAUCCUGGUCGGACAUC